GAGGCCUGGGAAGCUGCACUCAGAUAAAGGCAGUAGAAACAGAGCUUCUCUCCAAAGCUACUUCACAGCUCCUCAAGCCCACGUGCCCCCGCCAGCCAAUGUGAUGGGACAGGGCCCACCACGUGGCAGCCCACUGCAGGG